AAAAAAAGUUCAUCAUCAGGUAUCACAAAUUGCAGAAACCUAAAGAGAAGAAGGGAACUCGAGUUUUGAGCUUCUGCAUUUAUUCUUGCAAUCCAUGGAGGCAUGGAUGAGCAAUUCAUUCUUAAAGUUCCAUUUUCUGUUGCUGAGCGCAUAGAUUUCCAUUUUAAGUGAAAAUGCUGCAUCUGCUGAGGACAAAUCACUAGAUUUGGUAUUUUCUGGUUUUGUGCAGCAGCAAAUAAUUAUUGAAUUACAAUAGUAGUCCUUGAUUUUCAGCAUAAAGUGAUGAGUGAUUACCAAAAGUAAAGGAUGGGCGGAUAUAUUUGUCAUUGGCAAUGCUCAUUGCCCUUUAUCUCUCUUGGAUAUUCCUUGUGUUGUUUAGUCAUACAAAACAUUUGACGAUGGUGCAUUAGUUAAAACAGCUGAUGUUGGCCAAGUAUGAUGAUUUUGGUCAGAGAGUCAGGAGCAGCUUCUCUGGAUGCACUGGAGUACGGACUUGGUCUCACCCCUCCAACGAGGGAUGUAUGGAAGUGAAGAUUUCAGAGGGAGCCAGAUCUAAAUUCAUCCAUAAACUACUUCUUGAAAUCUUUUUGUUUCUGCAUAUUAACUUUCAAAAGAAAAAAAAAAAGAGAAAAUUUUCUCAGAUUAUGUGGAAAUUUUAAUUUAUAGACAUAAUUUCAUAGUACUAUAUAUGCCCUGUAAUUACCAUGAUCCAUCAUUAAUGUAAUUGAUAAAAGGAGCUGUCAAAGGUAAAAUGAGGCAUGAGCUGCAUCCAAGUCUCUUAUAUGUAGUCACCAUACUUUUUCUAAGUGACUAAGCUUUCAGCACUUCUAUCUUGUGUAUGGGGGUUACUUAAUGUUAAUGCAGGUUUGGCAGUUUCUUUUCUAAUCAUUUAGUAGUUCUACUGAUUCCAGUUAUGUUAUUUCUGCAGCCAGAACAUGUACAACGUGUUGAAAAAGAUUUGGUGAAAAUCAUGUAUCUCCUUGAUACAUCUAAUUUCUAUAUUGUAUCUUUGGUUAUGUUUUAGCAAAUGAUUCUUUUUUUUUCUAGUCUUGAAGUAGCCACCGAUGGAAUAAAAUUCCAUGACUGAAAAUCAAAUCAUAUUAUUUGGUCCAAUCAUCACUGGAAAUUAAGUCACUUUAUCGAGACAUACAUCAUCAUGUCCUUGAUGUGUGGGUCUCCGAAUGGUAACAGGGAUUGAAUGAGGAAUCUUAUUUAACCAUCUGCAUUCUUGAUUGAGUGUUUUGUGUCUUUAUGAGAUGGGUUGUGUUUAUACCUUAAUCGUGAUUUACAUGCGGAGGCCAAUGGGCAAGGUGAAGAUGGCAAUGCAAACAAGAACACCUGCAACGAAGCCUGAGGUUCCAGGUACAGGAGGCAAAGCUGGGGAGCCUGAUGGAACUGACUCUGAUGAUUGAAUGUGAAUUCAAUCUUAAAGCUUAACGGGUCAAAACGGGUAGGUUAGUGUGGAUUGUAACACUGUGGUUAAAAAAUGUAUAUGUUUGAUUGUUUAGAAUUUUGAUAAAAAGAGAGAGAGAGAGAUACAGAAACACUUGAAUUUCCAUGCAAAUUUACUUC